rnacentral:rRNA from 1 species
GACGAACGCUGGCGGCGUGCUUAACACAUGCAAGUCGAACGGUAAGGCCCCUUCGGGGGUACACGAGUGGCGAACGGGUGAGUAACACGUGGGUAAUCUGCCCUGCACUUCGGGAUAAGCCUGGGAAACCGGGUCUAAUACCGGAUAUGAACUCCUGCCGCAUGGUGGGGGUUGGAAAGUUUUUCGGUGCAGGAUGAGCCCGCGGCCUAUCAGCUUGUUGGUGGGGUAAUGGCCUACCAAGGCGACGACGGGUAGCCGGCCUGAGAGGGUGAUCGGCCACACUGGGACUGAGACACGGCCCAGACUCCUACGGGAGGCAGCAGUGGGGAAUAUUGCACAAUGGGCGAAAGCCUGAUGCAGCGACGCCGCGUGGGGGAUGACGGUCUUCGGAUUGUAAACCCCUUUCAGUAGGGACGAAGCGCAAGGGACGUACCUGCAGAA